UACGUAGGGAGCAAGCGUUGUUCGGAUUUACUGGGCGUAAAGGGCGCGUAGGCGGCAAUUCAAGUCAGCUGUGAAAUCUCCGGGCUUAACUCGGAACGGUCAGCUGAUACUGCUUUGCUAGAGUGCGGAAGGGGCAAUCGGAAUUCUCGGUGUAGCGGUGAAAUGCGUAGAUAUCGAGAGGAACACCUGAGGUGAAGACGGGUUGCUGGGCCGACACUGACGCUGACAGCGCGAAAGCCAGGGGAGCAACCGGG
rnacentral:rRNA from 1 species